rnacentral:rRNA from 1 species
UACGUAGGGUGCAAGCGUUAUCCGGAAUUAUUGGGCGUAAAGAGCUCGUAGGCGGUUUGUCGCGUCUGCCGUGAAAAUCCGGGGCUCAACCCCGGACUUGCAGUGGGUACGGGCAGACUAGAGUGUGGUAGGGGAGACUGGAAUUCCUGGUGUAGCGGUGAAAUGCGCAGAUAUCAGGAGGAACACCGAUGGCGAAGGCAGGUCUCUGGGCCGAUACUGACGCUGAGAGCGAAAGCGUGGGGAGCGAACAGG